rnacentral:rRNA from 1 species
UACCAGCACCCCGAGUGGGCGGGACGUUUAUUGGGCCUAAAGCAUCCGUAGCCGGUUCUGCAAGUCUUCCGUUAAAUCCACCUGCUUAACAGAUGGGCCGCGGAAGAUACUAUAGAGCUAGGAGGCGGGAGAGGCAAGCGGUACUCGAUGGGUAGGGGUAAAAUCCGUUGAUCCAUUGAAGACCACCAGUGGCGAAGGCGGCUUGCCAGAACGCGCUCGACGGUGAGGGAUGAAAGCUGGGGGAGCAAACCGG